rnacentral:rRNA from 1 species
AGCUCCAAUAGCGUAUACUAAUGUUGUUGCAGUUAAAAAGCUCGUAGUCGGAUUUCAGUUUUGAUAAAAUCUUCAUUAUUGAUAGAUUUUAAAUCAUAACUUCUUUGACAGAAACUUUCAUCUUAUUAAAUUAAGAUGUUUGGGGGCCUGUCUCUUUUACUUUGAGAAAAUUAGAGUGUUCAAAGCAGGUUUUUGCCUGAAUAUUACUCUUGGAAUAAUAAUAUAGGACUUUGGUUCUUUUUUGUUGGUGAUUUGGAACCGAAGUAAUGAUUGAUAGGGACAGUUGGGGUCAUUCGUACUGCAAAGCGAGUGGUGAAAUACUUGGACCUUUGUAUGACGAACUACUGCGAAAGCAUUUGACUAGGAUGUUCCCG